GCCAGUACGCAGGUGACGUUGGAGCUAACGGCACCAACGGUCCUGGCUGUUGCAGAGGCUGUGUGGAACCCAAGCGAAAGCUCCGUGGCUGAUGCUGGAAACCAUAAAUUCACUGGCGAGAGUGGAAAUACCGGGACCUGCGUAGGUGGAACUUGGGUUUUCAAAGUCCCCUCUCCCGCCCUCCCCUCCCUCCCUCAGGGCUGCCGGGAUCCUCGCUCUGGACCCCGCGCUCGGGCUCACUGCAGAGCGCCCCGGGGACCUCGCCCGGCUGAACCGUCCACACCUUGCUCGGGCCCCUUGGAAGGACUGUUGCCACGUUGUCAGAGGAGAAGACGUCACAUGGACAGCCCUAAUUCCCGCGUUACACAGACAGAAACUCGGUGCCCCUGGAGGAUGCAGAACAGCAGAAAAUCUGUGGUCCAACUUUCUGGAGCAUCCAUUUUACUACAAGACUUGGAAGAAAGAAAGUUAAGUAAUUUCUGAGUGCUGCUGCAAUCCGGAGAUUGAAUGAGAAGACUGUGAGUUCCAAAUAUUUGGUCAAAAGAAACCUCCACAAGAGAAGCAGGAAACAUUCCUUCUUUCUCCAAAGCUGUAGAAAAGCAGCAAUAUCUUGGAGCAGGACAUGGUCUUGGUGAACCACACUGAAAUGAGCCUGUCCUCUGAGGAAGGGGGUCUUGGACAUGACCUUCAGCAGCCAGGGAGGGGCGCUGGCCCUCCUCCCCUCUUCCAACAAGCUGUGACCCUGCGAGAUGCCUUAACUCAAGGAGGAGUGUGAGAUUCUGUGUCUCAUUUCCACGAGCACAGGAAGUGAAAGAGCCACACCCCCACUCGGCGGCUGGAAAAGGAACAGGAUUUUAAUAUAACAUUUAAAUCUUGCAUUUACUAUGAACAACAAAUAAAUAUUGCCCCUCCCCAAUGGGUAAAUAGGUGCUGAGGUAGAGAGGUCAGAGAGCCCCUCUCUCUUGGGCCCCAGGGCCCCAAGGG